UACGUAGGGUGCGAGCGUUGUCCGGAAUUACUGGGCGUAAAGAGCUCGUAGGUGGUUUGUCGCGUUGUUCGUGAAAACUCACAGCUUAACUGUGGGCGUGCGGGCGAUACGGGCAGACUGGAGUACUGCAGGGGAGACUGGAAUUCCUGGUGUAGCGGUGGAAUGCGCAGAUAUCGGGAGGAACACCGGUGGCGAAGGCGGUUCUCUGGGCCUGUACUGACGCUGAGGAGCGAAAGCGUGGGGAGCGAACAGG
rnacentral:rRNA from 1 species